CCCAGCCUUAAAGGGGAAACGGGUGGGCUCUCGGGCGCCCCCCAGCGGGGCCUCGAGUCCAGUUGGCUGCCGUGUUCAGCCACAGGGACACCGGUAGACAGAAAUUCCAAGGUUGUCCCCCGUGCACCAGGUGAUUCGGAUCUUCUUCCCAUUACCACGGAAAACUCGACCCCAGCAUCUAAGGAUCCCUGCUGGAGCCCCACCCACGCGUAUAUGCGUGUGUGCGCUGCUCGUGGAAGACGUACAGAGAGAGCUGCUCCCUCCCUCCUCCAAGUCCCCAGCCGAGCAGUGAAUCAGCCUGACAAUGUGGUGAGUCAUUCAUGAACUGCUCCGGGCUGGCCCAGCAGGCGGGAAGCGAACGUCAGCCAGCCUCACAGGCCUACCCCCACCCCCGGUGGGACCGCUUAGCCCCACGCACUGCAGAUGUUCGGAAGAAACUGACGCGGGCCAAUCAAAGCACAGGAGGCCCUCUCCUCCGCCCCUCCUUUUGACUUACAAUCCAUUCAUCCCCUAGCCCCUCUCUGUCUUCGGGUGGCAUGUGAGUCAUUGCAAGAUCUCUUUGAGAACACUUUCAGCUCAAUUCUCUAAGCCUCAUCCAACACCCGCCUCCCCAAACCUAGCCCAGCAGGUCCUCAAACCUUGGAGACUGGACGCUUGGAGUAGCAGGGUCCAGAUUUGGCAAUGAAGCUGACCCAGUCAGGGAUGUGUAGGUGAAGCAGGGGUCAGUUGGCUGGUCCCAGGAACUGGCAUCCAGCUUGCUUGGGAAGAGCAUCAAGACACACAGGAAGGCAUCAAGGAAGGAGAUGCUCAGGUGUGCUGCCCACAGUGCCUGUAGCUGAUGGGGAGGAAGGUGCAGGGACAGGACUAGAGUGUUCCUCUAGUUUCCAGAGAACUCCCCCGACCAUCUUCAGGACCUGGUAGCACCCCGCUUCUGUAUCCCCCCUUGAACUGGACCUUCCCUGGGCCUUCUGGGACAGUUGGGUCCCAUGGUGGUGUCCCUCACUGGGUCAAAAGCCUUUAAAAAAAAAAAAAAAAAAAAAA